rnacentral:tRNA from 1 species
AUUUAUAUAGUUUAAAAAUAAAACUCUACACUUUCACUGUAAAAAUAAAGCAAUAGCUUUUAUAAAUU